GAUGAACGCUAGCUACAGGCUUAACACAUGCAAGUCGAGGGGUAACGGGAGGAAAGCUUGCUUUCCUUGUCGACGACCGGCGCACGGGUGAGUAACGAGUAUCCAACCUGCCCCCAACUACGGAAUAACCUUGCGAAAGUAAGACUAAUACCUUAUAAUUUCCUCAGAUGUCAUCUGACGAGGAAUAAAGAUUUAUCGGUUGUGGAUGGGGAUGCGUCUGAUUAGCUUGUUGGCGGGGUAACGGCCCACCAAGGCAACGAUAAGGAGGGGUUCUGAGAGGAAGGUCCCCCACAUUGGAACUGAGACACGGUCCAAACUCCUACGGGAGGCAGCAGUGAGGAAUAUUGGUCAAUGGGCGAAAGCCUGAACCAGCCAAGUAGCGUGCAGGAUGACGGCCCUAUGGGUUGUAAACUGCUUUUAUACAGGAAUAAAGUUAGCCACGUGUGGUUAUUUGUAGGUACUGUAUGAAUAAGGACCGGCUAAUUCCGUGCCAGCAGCCGCAGUAA
rnacentral:rRNA from 1 species